rnacentral:rRNA from 1 species
AGUGAACGCUGGCGGUAGGCCUAACACAUGCAAGUCGAACGGCAGCACAGUAAGAGCUUGCUCUUACGGGUGGCGAGUGGCGGACGGGUGAGGAAUACAUCGGCAUCUACUUUUUCGUGGGGGAUAACGUAAGGAAACUUACGCUAAUACCGCAUACUACCUACGGGAUGAAGCAGGGGAUCUUCGGACCUUGCGCGAUUGAAUUAGCCGAUGUCGGAUUAGCUAGUUGGCUAGGUAAAGGCCCACCAAGGCGACGAUCCGUAGCUGGUCUGAGAGGAUGAUCAGCCACACUGGAACUGAGACACGGUCCAGACUCCUACGGGAGGCAGCAGCGGGGAAUAUUGGGCAAUGGGCGAAAGCCUGAUCCAGCCAUACCGCGUGAGUGAUGAAGGCCUUCGGGUUGUAAAGCCCUUUUGUUGGGAAAGAAAAGCAGCAGGUUAAUACCCCGCUGUUCUGACGGUACCCAAAGAAUAAGCACCGGCUAACUUCGUG